AUGUGUACAUUUAAUCAAGGCAUUGGGGUCCACAGAUCUUGUUACGACACGAAAAUAUUUGAUGAUUAUCAUUGCAGACGCCCUCAGUCUCAGGAACACUCUCGCUAUGUCUUUGAUUCUGUUAAAGACCCAUGUAGGUAUGCCCAACCUGCCAUUUGUUUAUGCUGGCGACUUCAUCAAAGUGCUACGGCAAAAGCAUGCUUCCAAAAGCUAUUCCGAGAUGAAUUGCAAUUUUGGCAGAUCAUAUAUAUCGAAGCAUGUGAAAGUGGCAGUAUCUUUGAGGGAUUAAUGCCACAAGACCUUAAUAUUUAUGUUACAACAGCAGCAAAUGCGGAAGAAAGUAGCUAG
rnacentral:rRNA from 1 species